rnacentral:rRNA from 1 species
AAACUUAAAGGAAUUGACGGGGCCCGCACAAGCGGUGGAGCAUGUGGUUAAUUCGACGCAACGCGAAGAACCUUACCAGGGCUUGACAUCCCCUGACCGCGUAUGAAAGUACGUUUUCACCCUCGGGUGACAGGGAGACAGGUGGUGCAUGGUUGUCGUCAGCUCGUGUCGUGAGAUGUUGGGUUAAGUCCCGCAACGAGCGCAACCCCUAUUGUUAGUUGCCAUCAUUCAGUUGGGCACUCUAGCGAGACUGCCGGUAAUAAACCGGAGGAAGGUGGGGAUGACGUCAAAUCAUCAUGCCCCUUAUGACCUGGGCUACACACGUGCUACAAUGGUUGGUACAACGAGUUGCGAGUCGGUGACGGCGAGCUAAUCUCUUAAAGCCAAUCUCAGUUCGGAUUGUAGGCUGCAACUCGCCUACAUGAAGUCGGAAUCGCUAGUAAUCGCGGAUCAGCACGCCGCGGUGAAUACGUUCCCGGGCCUU